rnacentral:rRNA from 1 species
UACGAAGGGGGCUAGCGUUGCUCGGAAUCACUGGGCGUAAAGGGUGCGUAGGCGGGUCUUUAAGUCAGGGGUGAAAUCCUGGAGCUCAACUCCAGAACUGCCUUUGAUACUGAGGAUCUUGAGUUCGGGAGAGGUGAGUGGAACUGCGAGUGUAGAGGUGAAAAUUCGUAGAUUAUCGCAAAGAACACCAAGUGGCGAAAGGCGGC